GCCUCAGUGGGUGUAGUGGUAGAGCACGCAUCCCCGGAUAGGAUGAAACGUGGGUUCGCUUCCCGCCUGAGGCC